CUCUCCUGUCUCUCCUGUCACAGCUGAAUACAGAGGAACGGGACAGUCGAGAUAUUUCAAGCACUGGAGUGAGGCCCUCUCUGUGCUGCAGUGGAGGGCUUCACGGACACGGCUAGUCUGGCUGGAUGCAUCACGCAGUUGAGCAGUUUGUCGGGCGUGGCACACGGGAUUCCUUCUCUCUGGAUGGACUCAACCGGGGACCCUGGGCUCCCGUGGGCGGCCGCGCCUGGCAGCCACCUGGCAGGUGUUUGCCUGGAAUGAGCCAACACCAGCUCCUUCCCCAUCUACCUCCAAGUCCAAUUCAUGGACUCAAUCAACCCAAUAAAUUCUUUAACAAUGGGCCCAUACGAGGAGGGGAGAAGCUGGAUCUCCCACAGCCAAUGUUGCCGAGUCUGCCGAGGGAGCAGCAGAG